AGGACGAACGCUGGCGGCGUGCUUAACACAUGCAAGUCGAACGGAAAGGCCCUGCUUUUGUGGGGUGCUCGAGUGGCGAACGGGUGAGUAACACGUGAGUAACCUGCCCUUGACUUUGGGAUAACUUCAGGAAACUGGGGCUAAUACCGGAUAGGAGCUCCUGCUGCAUGGUGGGGGUUGGAAAGUUUCGGCGGUUGGGGGAUGGACUCGCGGCUUAUCAGCUUGUUGGUGGGGUAGUGGCUUACCAAGGCUUUGACGGGUAGCCGGCCUGAGAGGGUGACCGGCCACAUUGGGACUGAGAUACGGCCCAGACUCCUACGGGAGGCAGCAGUGGGGAAUAUUGCACAAUGGGCGGAAGCCUGAUGCAGCAACGCCGCGUGCGGAUGACGGCCUUCGGGUUGUAAACCGCUUCGCCUGUGAGAAGCGUGAGUGAGGUAAGUAGGUAAAGAAGACGACCGGCUAAACUACGU
rnacentral:rRNA from 1 species